GAAUCUUCCGGGCAACACGCGCGCUACAAAGGACAGGACAAUGGGCUGCGACCUCGAAAGGGGAAGCCAAUCCGAAACCUGUUCGUAGUUAGGAUUGAGGGCUGUAACUCGCCCUCAUGAAUCUGGAUUCCGUAGUAAAUCGCGGGUCAACAUCCCGCGGUGAAUAUGCCCCUGCUCCUUGCACACACCGCCUGUCAAACCAUCCGAGCUGGUGUUGGAUGAGGGUUAGUUCGAAAGGGUUGAUUCGAAUCUGAUGUCAGUGAGGAGGGUUAAGUCAUAACAAGGUAUCCGUAGGGGAACCUGCGGAUGGAU
rnacentral:rRNA from 1 species